AGGGUUGUAGUUAAACAUAACAUUUGGUUUGCAAUCAAAAAGUAUUGAAUAUUAUUCAAUCAACCUUA
rnacentral:tRNA from 1 species